rnacentral:rRNA from 1 species
GUCUAUGGCCAUGCCACCUUGAAUGUGCCCGAUCCUGUAUGAUCUCGGAAGCUAAGCAGGGUCGGACCUGGAUAGUACUUGGAUGGCCGACCACCUAGGAAUACCAAGUGCUGUAGAUG